CGCUGUGUCGUGCGCGCGCCCUGGCAGGAACGUGUAUGGAAAAACAGUGCUCGCCACUGGUAAGGAACGGGAAUUCGUCUCUUCUAACCAUACACCUGUGCUGAUGGAAUAGACUGUCUCAUCAACAGGCAAAUACUCCGACGGGGGCGGAAGUGGGGUUUUGCUUUGCGCUCGUAUUUAUUUACAUUUAUUUAUCCACGAGUGACGUCGUUUGAUAGCACCGGUCUUCAUAUUCUCCUACCGUUACCUUCUCGACCGUGCCGUUCGCCGACCAUCUACUCUACGCCAUAGCGUCUCCUCAUGCACCUGGUACUCUGAAGCGCCGGAUCUCAAGGUUACUACUAUCCUUUUGAAGGCCUUGAUGGGGGCACUGAUUUUUGCGACAAUUCUCUGGACCCUCACUGGUGGGGGAUGCCUGCCACUACAGGAUGGGAAGGCAACCGACUGUGUCCAGCAGGACUCUGUGAGCAGCAGAGCUGGCGCUCCACAUCCCCCAUGUGACAGGCAGCUGACAGUGGAGGACAGUCUGACUGCUGAACAGAGGCAUGUGGGUCUGCUGAAGGAACUCCAGGAGCUGGCCGAAGAGGAGCUGCAGAGACAGAGGGAUUACGCCCGUGACCUGGAAGAGGGUGGGAAAAACAAAGCAGGAUGGCACGGUGAGGAAGACGAGGAUGACCAAGACGACUUUGACGAGGAAGAGGAUGACCUCGGCAAUGGGCCCGCCAUGGACGAGCCGUUCGAGGAGGAGGAGGAGGAGGAGGAAGAGGAAGAUCGAGAGAAGAAGAGUGCGGGGGAGAUGAUGGAGGAGCCGCGGCUGGAGCAGGGCAAGCACUCGGACGCAGACGAAGAGGAGAAGGCUCGCGAGCUGGAGGAGCUGCUGGCCAAGGAGAUCCGCAAGAGGGACAAAGAGCAGGACAAGGACCAGGAGCUGGAGGAGCUCCUCAGGGAGCUGAAGAAGAAGAGAUACGAGGCGGCCAAGGAGAGGACGGAGCGGAAAGAGAAACCGGAGAAGGAGGAGGCGAUGGACGAGAAGAAAGCCAAGGGGGGGGAGUUCGAGGAGGAGGAGGAGGUGAAGAAGGCCCAGGCGGAGAAGCUGGAGGACGUGGAGAGGAAGAGGAGCGAGGAGAGGAGGAAGAACGAAGUGGAGCUGAUGGUGGAGAAGGAGAAGGUGGAGCGGGAGCUGAAGCAGCUCCUGGAGGAGCAGAAAGACACGACCAAGAAGUGGGAGAAGGACAAAGAGAAGGAGGAGAAGGAAGAGGAGCUGCAGGAGCUCCUUAGGAAGAUGAAGCACGUGCAGGUGGAGGAGGCGCCGCUGGACAAGGAGAGCACAAGCGAAGACGAGAAAAAAGAAGAGAAGGAGGGAGAGAAGCCGGUGGAGGAGAAGAAGAUGCAGGUGGUGAAGGGAGAGGGAGGGAAGGAGGUGUCAAGAGGAGAAAGCGAGUUGAAAGAGCCGCAGCAGAAGAGAGUGAUGGAGAACGCCAGUGACGAGGCCACCCGUCAGUUUGACAGGGACAGGUAUGAGGAUGAGGAGCGGGAUGAGGGCGAGGAUGAUGAGGAAGAGGAGGAUGAGGAUCAAGAUGAGGAAGAAGGGGACGAGGAAGAAGAGGAUCUGGUGAGUUUGACACAACCUGUUUCCCCCUAAGCCUUCAUCUUAACCACUGACAGAACCAUUGAACAAAAGAAACUCUAAAUGGUUCCGAAAUGUGAGCGUUAAUGUUAAGUCCAUCUCUAAAUGGAGCGUAAUCAUUUUAUUAAUUUUCUAGUUAUAUAUAAACAAUAAGUAACAGCUGAGACCGCUAUCAUAGAAUGAUGGGUUUGUGCGUGUUUAUGCUUAAGAACAGUGCCACGUUUUUGUGUUCGCAGGAACUGCUGGAGAUUGAGACGGAACUACGCCGAGUGGCAUCAGAACUGAGAGCAAUGCGACUGGGCUGAGACCAUGACAACUCACUCACACACACACUCACACACACACACUCACUCUCUCACACACACACACACACAUACACACACACACACUCACUCACUCACUCACACACACAUACACACACACACACUCACUCACUCACACACACACACACACACUGAGAUAUGCGCUCACAGGAUCGUGUCAUCUUUGAUCAACAAGACUGACACAUGACAUUGCACACUUUGACAUGUACAUUGACAAAACACUUGUUUUGAACACGUACUACCUUCAUCUAAAGUGAAUCACCAGCUCAGUUAGCACUGUCCAUAUUUAGAUCUCUCCCUAGCCUCUGGUGGGCUCCAUGUCUGGUCAAAUACGGUGUUAAAUACAGGACACACAGUCCUCUCAAAACUGAGAGAAAACUUUAUUUUUUCAGACAUUAUAAAUCAUGGGUGUUGACUUGCACAUAUGGAAACCCACGUAAUACCGUAGAGCUAUUCCACUCGAGUGUUAUCUGUUUCAGUUUUGAUAGUUUAAAUAGUGAACUUACCUUCAACAUACGAUAUACCUAACUCUGAUGGAGUUCUUUACACACUGUCAGUGUUUGUCAGUAAUUAAUGAUCAGAAUGUCAUUUGUUAACAUGAAAGCUGCUGUGAUGACUGUUAUCUCGAGGCAGUGCGUCACCCUGAAUAUUAGCUUUGACCGUUAGCUUGUUAGCUGUUCAUUGAGGGUUGCGUGGCAUUUGGCUCAAACACUGUUAGACAAAAACAAGAAAGACUGUUAAACGGAGACAAAAACUGAGGUGAGAUCUUUUUAUGUGAUAGUAGUUUGUGUGUAACAUCAAUGCCAAGGUUACCAAAGGAGAAAUAGCUUGUUCUUGUCUUUUGUUUUGUUUUUCUGUUUAAAGUGGAGCUUAAGUCGUUGUUUGUUGUCUUCGUGUUCCAGUGACACUUGACCCGUGUUGCCGUAGAGACACUGCGGUUCUUCUCCAAGGUUUGCACUUGUGUACAGUACCAGCCAAUCAGAGCAAUGACUAGUUUGAGAUUAAAAGCCAUUUUAUUUUUUAAAUCUGCCCAGUUCUUUGCAAUGUGGGGUGUUUGAUCACCAAAACUAUCCAUUUCCUCUAAUCAAUACUAAGCCAAGGAUAUUACUUGCAAGGACUGUAGGCCAAGAAAAACAAGAAUUAAUAUAAAAUUAAUGAAACACCUUCAGUAUUUGACUGUUUCGGUUUUUCCACUCAUAACCAAGUGGAAAUCCCCAAAGCUUGCAAUAAGUAUUAAAGCGAUACAUAAAGUAUAUACUUAGAAAAUAUGCAAUAGAAUAGCCAAAAUAAACUAUUUUAUUCUGAACA
rnacentral:lncRNA from 1 species